AGUCGUCUCGUAGGUGACCUGCGGAGGGUCAUUACAGAGUUCAUGCCCUUCGGGGUAGACCUCCCACCCAGUGUAUUUA
rnacentral:rRNA from 1 species